UACGUAGGGUGCGAGCGUUGUCCGGAAUUACUGGGCGUAAAGGGCUUGUAGGUGGUUUGUCGCGUCUGCUGUGAAAAUUCGGGGCUCAACCCCGGACUUGCAGUGGGUACGGGCAGACUAGAGUGUGGUAGGGGAGACUGGAAUUCCUGGUGUAGCGGUGGAAUGCGCAGAUAUCAGGAGGAACACCGAUGGCGAAGGCAGGUCUCUGGGCCAUUACUGACACUGAGAAGCGAAAGCAUGGGGAGCGAACAGG
rnacentral:rRNA from 1 species